rnacentral:lncRNA from 1 species
GAAAAAGGGUUACGCGUAGGCAAUGCUACGACUUAAAAACAACUGGGGGACUCAAGGGAUUCCAUGAAAAAUAAAUCAAUGGAAAGACUCAGCCGAGGAAGAAGAGGAACAUCUGCAGGGGAAGCGGGUAAAUCAAAACAAAGCUGAAAUACUCGAACCAAACAGGAAAAAGUGAUUUGACUAAGGAAAUGUGCAGUCAAACUCGACUGGGGAAGAAAAGAUCUUCAACAUAGGAGGAGCGGGAAUCUAUUAUCUAUUACCGGUUACUGGGUAAGGA